AGACCGGACGCCCUCCCGCUUCUUCUACCGACUGCUAGGCACACCAGUGGGUUCAUUUUGAAAGAGGCCCUUGCACCGGGCUUUGCAAGGAAGCCGGCAAGGUUAGAUUGAAGGUUAGAAGCCAAUUAGACUAGAAUCCUGCGAUCUGGUGAGACUGCCGCCUUAAAAUGCACCAAACAGUUUUUGAACCUGGAGGGCUAACAGGCGGGAAAAACAUCUGCAAGACUGCCACCGUGUAUUUUUCUCAAGUAACAGGCUAUCCACAGUUUUGGAAUUCCUUAGUGAAACUGUCACACAGGCACAAACACAUGUCAGCUUUCCUUCUAGUUUGUAAAUAAUAUUUGUAAUUUACAGGCCACUGUAUUCCCAACUUUGCACCAUGUGAUUUAGAGAAAGCAAAGCUCCCUCUUUAAAAAUAAUAUGUUACUUCUGAAAUACCGGGAUAUUCCACGGCAAGUAAGCCAUAUUGUCGCCAGAGCAAAUAAACCGCAGCCCCAUAUCAUAAUUCACUGGGUGCUAUAAGAUGUAACUUGGCUUUGCUUUGAAUGGAAAGAAUCCUGAACGUCUGUGAUGUGAUGAAGUUUUGGAGACUGGGGGCAGGAUUUCCUUUGAAUGUAAGGAAUUCGGAUAACUUGUUCAAGGAUGAUUCUAGUGAAAAACGUUUGUCCCAUGUUUGUUGGGACAAAAAUGCUGGAUAUGGUACAACAUUCUUCCUGCAGGUUCGGUUUUGUUGAAGAGAGUGAGGCCAGCUCGAGGUGAAGGAAAAACAUCAGAAAGGUGCUAAAGUGCAGAAAUAUCUUCCAGAGGCACUAAUAGCCGACUUUAGUUCUUGACCUUUAGCUAGAUCCACAAAGCACUGAGUUAAAAUUGUACACUGAUCCCUUCCAGAACAAAUUAAUUAAUUAAAUGGUGCCUCUUCCCAGCGUUAAUCGUUUAAAAGGACUCAAGUACCCACACAGUUUAAGCAAACUAAAAGAACACUGACACUUUCUCAGAGAACAGGGAUGGGAACUUUCUAUCUGCCCAUUAGUAUCUACCCCAAGCUACGAAGACUUCCAUUCCUCUUAUUAAGCAUUCAGCAACUACAUUUAGUGCCUACUAUGCCAGUGAUGCAAGAAUGGAUAAGACAGUCCCUACACUCAAGGAUAACGCCUCUAGUAGAUGAGCAACUUUGGGAAGGUCAUCUUGUGAAGGAGGAGGAGAACAUCCAUUUAACUGUGAGAUUAGCAGCAUCAACCCUGGACCCAAUAGUUUAAUAGACCCCCAAGAAGAUCAUCCACUUCACACAAUCAAACUAUG
rnacentral:lncRNA from 10 species